GCCGCCUCCGCCUCCCCCGCUCGCCGCCCGCCGCCGCCCGGCGCCUCCAUCCUGGUACUUGGGAGUCUCCAUCCUGGUUUCUCAAGUGCCCGGACCCAAAACAGGAAGUUUGAGUAUGAGCACAGUUGAAGAAGAGUCUGACACAGUGACAGUAGAAACCGUGAACUCUGUGACUUUGACUCAGGAUACUGAAGGGAACCUAAUUCUUCAUUGCCCUCAAAAUGAAGCUGAUGAAGUAGACUCUGAAGACAGCUCUGAACCUCCACACAAGAGGCUUUGCUUAUCAGAGGAUGAUCAAAGCCUUGAUGAUUCUACUCCAUGCAUUUCUGUUGUUGCAGUUCCAAUUGCAGAAAAUGACCAGAGCUUUGAGGUGACCAUGACUGCUACCGCUGAGGUAGCUGAAGAUGAGAUUAAUGAAGGAACUGUUACCCAGAUUCAGAUUCUUCAGAAUGAGCAGUUGGAUGAAAUCUCCCCAAUGGGCAAUGAAGAAGUAUCAGCUGUUAGUCAAGCCUGGUUCACAACCAAAGAGGAUAAGGAUUCUCUAACCAAUAAAGGCCAUAAGUGGAAGCAAGGGAUGUGGUCAAAGGAAGAAAUUGACAUUUUGAUGAGUAACAUUGAACGUUAUUUAAAGGCCCGUGGAAUAAAAGAUGCCACUGAAAUUAUAUUUGAAAUGUCAAAAGAUGAAAGAAAAGAUUUCUACAGGACAAUAGCUUGGGGUCUGAAUCGGCCUCUCUUUGCUGUCUAUAGAAGAGUUCUGCGCAUGUAUGAUGACAGAAACCAUGUUGGAAAGUAUACUCCUGAGGAAAUUGAAAAGCUUAAAGAGCUGAGAGUAAAGCAUGGUAAUGAUUGGGCCACAAUAGGAGCUGCCCUGGGGAGAAGUGCUUCAUCUGUAAAGGAUCGAUGUAGGCUGAUGAAGGAUACCUGCAACACAGGAAAGUGGACAGAGAAAGAAGAGAAGAGACUGGCAGAGGUGGUGCACGAGCUGACAAGCACAGAGCCAGGUGACAUUGUCACCCAAGGUGUGUCCUGGGCUGCGGUGGCAGAGCGGGUCGGGACGCGCUCGGAGAAGCAGUGCCGCUCUAAAUGGCUCAACUAUCUCAACUGGAAACAAAGUGGAGGCACCGAGUGGACCAAGGAGGAUGAAAUAAAUCUGAUCUUGAGGAUAGCGGAACUUGAAGUUUCUGAUGAGAAUGACAUCAAUUGGGACUUGCUGGCUGAGGGAUGGAGUAGUGUCCGCUCCCCACAGUGGCUCCGGAGUAAAUGGUGGACCAUUAAAAGACAGAUUGCAAACCACAAAGAUGUUUCAUUCCCUGUGCUGAUAAAGGGUCUUAAACAGCUCCACGAGAACCAAAAAAACAAUCCAGGGCACCAGCUUGCAGAGAACAAGUGUGGCAGUGGCUUAGCAAGCAGUAACUCCAGCUCGGGGGUGCAGCACGUGCAGAUCCGCGUGGCUCGCUUGGAGGAGAGCACGGGCAGCGCCCCCAGCCCCAUGGCAGCUCUGCAGAUCCCCGUGCAGAUCACCCAUGUCUCCUCAACCGAUUCCCCUGCUGCUACUGUUGACUCUGAGACAAUAACACUGAACAGUGGAACACUACAGACAUUUGAGAUUCUUCCAUCUUUCCACCUCCAGCCGACUGGGACGCCGGGUACCUACUUACUGCAGACGAGCUCGAGCCAAGGGCUGCCUUUAACGCUGACAACGAGCCCCACCAUGACCCUGACGGCCGCGGCAGCUCCGGCCUCCCCGGAGCAGAUCAUCGUUCACGCCUUAUCUCCAGAGCAUUUGUUAAACACAAGUGACAACGUCACAGUGCAGUGCCACACGCCGAGUGUCAUAAUCCGCACCGUUGCUGCUGAAGACAUCUCCUCCUCUGUCACCCAGACAGACCUGGCUGUGGAUGCAGACAUUCACUCAGCUGACCUGACAGAUCCUCCAGACACCCUAGGAACAAAUACUUUCCCACAUGAUAUCCAUCAGUCCAAGCUGAGUGACGAAGAGCAGUCAGCCUACAACGAAGAUGAUGCUUCCAAAUUUAGCAGCAGGAAUAGUAGAGAACUGAUGGAUGGAGUUCUGGUAAGAACAGAGGAGGAGAUUGCUGAUGCUAGCCUGAAACAGAAUGAGGAUUCUCACUCUGGCUUACCCAGCACUUACGUUACUGAGGUAAGGGAGGGCGUGAUACUUGGUGUUUUCCCCAUUUCUGCAAUUCUGGAGAACUAUUUCAUUGAAUCUGGCCUUGAUGUUAAGCUAUUGGUCUGAAAUAUCUCAGUGAUUUCAUUUAUAUUGGUAGCUGAAGGGAGAAGGAUGAAGAGAGACUAUUCAUAAGAGGUAUAGUGAUAGGACAAGGGGGAAUGGCUUCAAACUGAAAGAAUGUAAGUUUAAAUAGGCAUUAGGAGAAAGUUCUUUCCUGUGAGAGUGGUGAGGCACUGGAACAGGUUGCCCAGGGAAGCUCUGGGCUGCCUCAUCUCUGGAAGUGUUCAAGGCUAGAUUAGAUUGGGCCUGGAGUGAUCUUCAAAGUCCCUUCCCAUCCAAACAAUUCUGUGAUUCUGUAUCACAGUUCUACAACUAUUUGCUGAGAUCCUCUAUCCUUGAGCUUCAUUAGUGUGUUACAAGUAUGAAAGUAACAGCAUUUAAUUUGGUACCAAGGCUUAUAUUUUACUUAUCUGGAGCACGGAGCUGUGGAGUUGCUUCACUACUCAGGGUUUUCCUGCAUGGUGCAGCAUUGGUGGCACUGAACAGGUGCCUUCAGGUGAUUCCUGCUUGAUGCUGUUGCUUUAAACUGGGCUGUUAAUUGUCCAACACACUUGCAUCAAUAGAUGGAUUGAGCAAGGGAGGAGAGCUAGAGUAUUUGGGUUUUGCUUUAUGAGUCUAAUAAUUCAAGAUGUACCUCACUUUUCAGUUUUGAGGACUUCUGUUAAACAUCCUGCUCCAGCCAAGUAUCUGUUAAAUGGGAAUUUGAAACAUUAAGCUACUUCUCUCUCUGGCCUCAGAUUUGUUCAUCUCCAACACCUGAGAUGCAGAAAUGAGUUUAUCCAAAUGAUUACAGCUAUUUGGAUAAUUUCCUUCAGUUGCUGGAAUUAUGAAAAUGACUAAGUCACAGAAAACAGAGGUGCUAAAAAGAAGAUAACACUCUUUAGUACAAAAUUCCUCUUGCUUUAGGGGUUUGGAAUCUGGGAAAAGAUGAGUUAGAAUUAAACAUCCUUAGCUGUUUUUUAGGACACUGUUCUCUACAGCAGCUGCAUUUCUGCUUUGUCAGCCUUGAAAAUCCACCAUUAAUAUGCUUUGGCCUUGUCUUUGAAGAAGCUUCUGAUAGACAGUGCAUAUCUGUUAUGCUCUUACAAAAGGGAGAAUCUUUGUACAUCUCAAGUUUGCUACUAUAGAAGCAUCUGAAUCCUGAAUACAUCAGAAGAUGGGGAUUAUUCUUCCAUUUUCCUCUUUCUGUGUCAUGGUUGACAUAAUUGUGAUAAGGUUUUCAACAUUUGAGGCAGGCCAUCAGCUUUCUAUUCUCUUUUAAAACUUCAGCUUCUCGAGGUAGAAUUAAUAAACUUUUGAUAUUAACCUAGUUCCUAGUUUAACUUUGUACAAAUUGCUCAUGGAUAGCAGAAUGUAAAACUAAACUUUUUUUUUUUCCUAUACAGAAAAACAAACUGAAUUUGUAAUUCUAAUUUGCUUUACUCUUCAAGUCAGAUUCAAGUUUGACAUGUGUACUCAAAUUCCAGGAAAUAGUGAACUGUCUGUGAGUAAUUCUCAGUGAAAAGUUACUCCAGAAAAACAUGCCUACAUUUUGUUUUCUUUAAGUCAGUGUUAUUUUUAUGAGCUUGCCAGGGUUGUAUUGUCACUGUGGGUGGGUAGUGGGAGGCAGGCAGUCAUGCUGCAGGGUUUUAUUAUUUCUGCCUGGGAAAGGUGCCCAUUUGCCACAAUGGCUUCUUUGGUUUUUCACGCCCCCUCUUCCCAGUUUCAGGCCUUGCAGCGCAGUGCUGCUGUGGGCAGAGCUGUGUGCUCUGCUGAGAGCUGCUCCUGCAGGUCAAGCACACCAUGCCCUUGUGCAUGGGACCUUGUGCAGUUCACAGGUUGUCACCUCCUCUCCAGCAGCAUCAAGGGAGGGGUUUUCAGACAGCUCUCUUUGCAAAAACACUGUGCAGUUACACAGGGAAACAAGUUUUCCUACAAAAAACAAGGUGGAGGAACAUCAGGAUUUUCUUAAACACAGAGGGCUGUAACCUCAGUGAUAAAUCCAGGUACCUUCUAUUGUGUCAGCAGCAGUUGCUAGCAUUUUACAUCAGGGAUUCCUGAAGUUUGAACAUACCUUAUGCAUGUUGCACACAAAAACUGGAAUACAGAUAUCUCUGCUGGUUCUGGCAGUGAUGUGUGGGAUGACUUGUCACUGCAUCUGUGGAACCAGGAGUGUGCUUUGACACUGAGUCAACCAGAUGUGUUGCUGCCAUUCCAGUACCACAGGAGCCAGGGAAGAGGCAGGAGCAGCAGCAAUGGCAGGACUGGAAGAGAAUGAGGGUAUUGACAAUUGUACCUGGAUGGAAUCAGUGUGUUACCAGUCUUGUGGUACCAUUAGGUUCUGCAAAAAAAGUCUGGAGCCAAAUUCCAGCCAGUAACAGACCAAGCAAGGCACAGCAAGUGAAGGGGGUCUUUUGAGCUCUGUGUUCAGUGUUAGUUAAAACUUGACACAGGAGUUGUGAAACUUAAGGUAAAGCUGUUGGGUUUGUGGAGCAGGUAAGUGCUACAGUGGUAGUGCUUCAGUCUCAGAACAUCUAGACAGAAAGCAGUGGAAAAGCCUAAUUAUUCCUCUUCACAGACUUAAAUAUUUGACUUGGCAAGGAAGCACCACCUGGAGUGUCUCCCUUCCUCUCCACAUUGCUGAACAGGGAUCUGGGUUCUCCAACAAUAGAAGAACAAGUUGAUCAGCCUACAAUAGAUGAUGAGACUGUGCUUAUUGUUCCUUCUUCCCAUGGUUUUAUCCAGGCAACAGAUGAUAUGGAUAAUGAAUCAGUCUUGCC